CAUGAAGAGACCUCUGCCUGUGCCUGCCUGAGGAGAGCUGUAGUGACCCGGCUGUACACAUUCCCUGAACCACUGGCUGCAGUGUGCCUCCAGGAAGGACAUGGCUUUGGUCAAGACACUGUCUGCAGCUGAAACAGUGGCCCCACAUCCAUAUCCUUCAUGGUUGCUCUGAUGGAAAAUGAACCAAACAGCAAGAAGCUACUGCAGCAAAAUUCCAUGGUGAGGAUAAUCCAAAGUGUGGAUGGUCCGUUUAAUAAUCAGCGGUGCCUUUGGCUA